rnacentral:rRNA from 1 species
UACGGAGGGGGCUAGCGUUGCUCGGAAUCACUGGGCGUAAAGCGCACGUAGGCGGGUCUUUAAGUCAGGGGUGAAAUCCUGGAGCUCAACUCCAGAACUGCCUUUGAUACUGAGGAUCUUGAGUUCGGGAGAGGUGAGUGGAACUGCGAGUGUAGAGGUGAAAUUCGUAGAUAUUCGCAAGAACACCAGUGGCGAAGGCGGCUCACUGGCCCGAUACUGACGCUGAGGCACGAAAGCGUGGGGAGCAAACAGG